AUGAGGGAGAAAUAUUGGGAAAGGGCAAAGUUGUGGCAUCCAGGCAGGGAAUUCAGGAACAAAAUAACUAACUUGAAGGGCUUGUACAAUGAUUGGGUAUGGUUGCAGCAGCAAACCGGCUGUGGCCGCGGCUUAGAUGGCGAAGUGACGGCAACUGCAGAUUGGUGGGAGAAAGAAAUCAAGGACAGACCAAAUCUCAAGAAAUUUAGAAAUGGUAACCCUGAGUAUAUGCCCCUGUUACAUGAGAUAUUUCAUGAGGUCGCUGUGGAUGGUUCGUCUGCUUAUGUUCCUGGGACAGAAGAUUGUUUGGAGUUAAAUAAUGAUGAUGACCUGGAUGGCAAUGAAGGCUUCGUGUCCAGCCCUAUGAGUACCAACACUCAAAAGAGAGGGAGCCGCUCAGAGUUAAGGAGUACAGCUAGUAGUCCUUCAAAGAGAAGCAAAACUCGGGGUCCAUUUGUAAAAUAUAUGAAGGACAUUGAAACUAAGUUGGAGAAGGAAAGUGAGAAAACAGACUCUAUUUUGCAGGCUCUUGUGAACCAAGGCAAUGAAAAGGUUAGAGAAGUGAGGAACGUGCUCAGUCAGUAA
rnacentral:rRNA from 1 species